CCGCUGGUCGUCUAGUUGGUUUAUGGCACUGGACUGUAAAUCCAGGUGUCGUCGGUUCGACUCCGACCCAGCGGA
rnacentral:tRNA from 12 species